ensembl:lncRNA
UAAAGUACCACAGUCCCUUGGAUCGUCACAGCACACUGUGAAGACUACAGACAACAGCCAAAUAGCAUGUACAUUCCCUGAUUGUGUGAAAAAAAAAAAAAAAAAAAAGUCUGUAUCAGCUAAUAUCGAUAGUCUAUAUUUGUGAUUGAAAAAGGGAAAUCAACGAUGAACAAAGCAAUGCUGGCUUACAAUUUUGAACACAAGUCAUGUUGAUCACUAUUCAUUCCAGAUGGUCAUGUCGUUGUGACAAUAUAAGCAUUUUGGAAUGUUCAGCUAAGUUGAACAGCCAAUCAGAAUGAUCUGUGUCACUGACUGCCCAUCGCUGAUUCAACUUCCUCAACUGGCGUUCAUUGCAAAAUACACAGUGUAAAAACUGAGCUGACAGACACUUAAUGCUGGCCCAACAUUGAGCAACAACCAACUGUUGGCUUGGUGGCAUGUAGCUCACACAGAAGUCACUUUCAAACCAAACAUCUCUCUGUUGAUCAAACCAUGGCUAAUCUGCAACUUGAACCUGUGGCAUUAUCUGAAUGGGGAAAACUUGCAGCCUGAAAUUCCAGAUUGAGUGGAUUCCUGUUGAAGGUGACCACACUGUGUCCUAACCAGAUGCCAAGCAGUAAAGCAGGGGUGUCCUAACCUGUUCUUGGAGGGCCGACGUCCUGCAGAAUUUAGUUUCAACCAGCUCCAACACACUUGCCUGGAAGUUUCUAAGACCUUGAUUAGCUGGUUCAGGUGAGUUUAAUUAGGGUUGGCACUAAACUCUGCAGGACAGUGGCCCUGCAGGAACAGGUUUGGACACCCAUGCAGUAAAAUGACAAGGACUUAGAUAUAUUUCUAAGUCAUUUUUCUUCUUAACACUUGCAACAAGCAACAGGACUUUUGUUUGUUUGGUUUGAUCAUCCACUGUGGUCUAAAAUGAUGCUCCACAUAAUUGUUUCUGGAAACCUAGCAACACAAUUUGGCCUAUAUUUUUGAAAAUUUAAAGAUGAUAUGCAUGUUAUUCAUCUGGUUUUGAAUGGUUCAUCUAUGUAUAAGUUUUUGUUUUCAGCUUGUAAUAUUUAAUGGAAAUGUUGUUAACUCUUCCAGUAAUAAAGUAUCUAAACAUUUAUAUUAAUGCAAGAACAUUAGAAAUGUAAACAAUAGCAAUGAUAUCAUUGCAGUAUUUGCAUGUGCUAUUGAUCUUCUUUCUUAGGUUUCUUUUAAUACUGAAAUUUUGUAUAGCAUUGUCUUUUUCUUCUUUUUUUUUUUUUUUUUACAUAUAUUUAACAAUUUAAACUUGACUUUGUGCAGUGACUGCAUGUCUUGAUUCUUGUUCGCAGGCUACCGAAAACAACACAUUGCAAUAUUUUGUAUAACCAAAGCCUUACACCUAAAUCUUUUAAUUUAUGUUGCAAUGGCUGCUUUGUAAAGUACUGGUAUUUCUUUUAAGACAUGCACAUUUCUCUUUCUUCCAUGUUUCACUUAGUGCCAUAUUACCAUCACACUAAAAAUUCCUUUGUUCAGCUCUUUCCAGGUUCAUGUACUAAUAUAGAGAUUGUGAUUAUCUGUUUUGUUUGUUGCAUCAGUGAGAUGUAGAUGUUUGUAAACCACCUUGCUUUAUACAUGUCUCAGACAGAAACUUCAGACCAGAUGACUGUUUGCUUGUUCGGAUCUCUGUCUGUCUUUGUGUGUGUAUGUGUGUGUGAGAGAGAGAGAGAGAGCUUCAUGAAAGCGUGAAAGCAUUGAGUUCAGCAACCAGAUAUUUUUAGCCUUGUCUCGAGACCUCUAGCUUCCCUCUGCAUUUCUCCUCUCCUCCUUGGCCUUGUCCUCCCCUCCUUCACUCUGAUAUGUGUUUAUCUACGUAUUUGUAUGCAUGUCUUGAGUGACAGCAAGAGAGUUGCAAUAAGACUGAGUAAAGAUUGAAUUCAUUAGUUG